rnacentral:rRNA from 1 species
ACGAACCGUGCGAACGUUGUUCGGAAUCACUGGGCUUAAAGGGCGCGUAGGCGGGCGAGCCAGUCCGGGGUGAAAGCCUCCGGCCCAACCGGAGAAGGGCCUUGGAUACUGCUCGUCUUGAGGGAGGUAGGGGCUUGUGGAACUUCCGGUGGAGCGGUGAAAUGCGUUGAUAUCGGAAGGAACGCCGGUGGCGAAAGCGACAAGCUGGCCCUCUUCUGACGCUGAGGCGCGAAAGCUAGGGGAGCAAACGGGA